rnacentral:rRNA from 1 species
CCUACGGGAGGCAGCAGUAGGGAAUCUUUCACAAUGGGCGAAAGCCUGAUGGAGCAACGCCGCGUGCAGGAUGAAGGCCUUCGGGUUGUAAACUGCUUUUAUAAGCGAGAAAUAUGAUGGUAACUUAUGAAUAAGGAUCGGCUAACUACGUGCCAGCAGCCGCGGUCAUACGUAGGAUCCGAGCAUUAUCCGGAGUGACUGGGUGUAAAGAGUUGCGUAGGUGGCAUAGUAAGUAGCUAGUGAAAUCUGGUGGCUCAACCAUUCAGACUAUUAGCUAAACUGCUAAGCUUGAGACCGUUAGGGGUAACUGGAAUUUCGAGUGUAGGAGUGAAAUCCGUAGAUAUUAGAAGGAACACCGAUAGCGUAGGCAGGUUACUGGGACGGUUCUGACACUAAGGCACGAAAGCGUAGGGAGCAAACGGGAUUAGAUACCCGUGUAGUC